rnacentral:rRNA from 1 species
GAUGAACGCUAGCGGGAGGCUUAACACAUGCAAGGUCGAGGGGCAGCAUAGGGUAGCAAUACUCUGAUGGCGACCGGCAAACGGGUGAGUAACGCGUAUGCAACCUACCCUGUACAGGGGGAUAACCCGGAGAAAUUCGGACUAAUAUCCCGUAAUAAUAUCCGGAGGCAUCUUUGGAUAUUUAAAGUUUCGACGGUACGGGAUGGGCAUGCGUAACAUUAGCUGGUUGGUAAGGUAACGGCUUACCAAGGCUAUGAUGUUUAGGGGUCCUGAGAGGGUGGUCCCCCACACUGGUACUGAGACACGGACCAGACUCCUACGGGAGGCAGCAGUGAGGAAUAUUGGUCAAUGGGCGCAAGCCUGAACCAGCCAUCCCGCGUGCAGGAAGACGGCCCUAUGGGUUGUAAACUGCUUUUCCAGGGAGAGAAACUUACGCACGUGUUGCGUGACUGACGGUACCCUGGGAAUAAGCAUCGGCUAACUCCGUG